GAAGCUUCAGGCCUAACACAUGCAAGUCGAGCGCGCCUUUCGGGGUGAGCGGCGGACGGGUUAGUAACGCGUGGGAAUAUGCCCAAAGGUACGGAAUAGCCUCUGGAAACGGAGAGUAAUACCGUAUGUGCCCUUCGGGGGAAAGAUUUAUCGCCUUUGGAUUAGCCCGCGUUAGAUUAGGUAGUUGGUGGGGUAAUGGCCUACCAAGCCUACGAUCUAUAGCUGGUUUUAGAGGAUGAUCAGCAACACUGGGACUGAGACACGGCCCAGACUCCUACGGGAGGCAGCAGUGGGGAAUCUUGGACAAUGGGGGCAACCCUGAUCCAGCCAUGCCGCGUGAGUGAUGAAGGCCUUAGGGUCGUAAAGCUCUUUCGCCUGUGAAGAUAAUGACGGUAGCAGGUAAAGAAACCCCGGCUAACUCCGUGCCAGCAGCCGCGGUAAUACGGAGGGGGUUAGCGUUGUUCGGAAUUACUGGGCGUAAAGCGCACGCAGGCGGAUCGGAAAGUUGGGGGUGAAAUCCCGGGGCUCAACCCCGGAACUGCCUCCAAAACUAUCGGUCUAGAGUUCGAGAGAGGUGAGUGGAAUUCCGAGUGUAGAGGU
rnacentral:rRNA from 1 species